rnacentral:tRNA from 1 species
UUACUUUGGCAGAUUAGUGCUUUAGAUUUAGAAUUUAAAAAUGUAUUUUAAAUACAAGUAAUAA